UAUGCCCUACGGGAGGCAGCAGUGAGGAAUAUUGGUCAAUGGGCGCGAGCCUGAACCAGCCAAGUAGCGUGAAGGAUGACUGCCCUACGGGUUGUAAACUUCUUUUAUAAAGGAAUAAAGUGAGGCACGUGUGCCUUUUUGUAUGUACUUUAUGAAUAAGGAUCGGCUAACUCCGUGCCAGCAGCCGCGGUAAUACGGAGGAUCCGAGCGUUAUCCGGAUUUAUUGGGUUUAAAGGGAGCGUAGAUGGGUUGUUAAGUCAGAAGUGAAAGCCCGGGGCUCAACUCCGGGACUGCUUUUGAAACUG
rnacentral:rRNA from 1 species